rnacentral:rRNA from 1 species
UACGAAGGGGGCUAGCGUUGCUCGGAAUGACUGGGCGUAAAGGGCGCGUAGGCGGUUUGUACAGUCAGAUGUGAAAUUCCUGGGCUCAACCUGGGGGCUUGCAUUUGAUACGUAUGGACUGGAGUGAGGAAGAGGGUCGUGGAAUUCCCAGUGUAGAGGUGAAAUUCGUAGAUAUUGGGAAGAACACCGGUGGCGAAGGCGGCGACCUGGUCCUUGACUGACGCUGAGGCGCGAAAGCGUGGGGAGCAAACAGG